rnacentral:rRNA from 1 species
ACCUUCGGCAAUGGCUGAAGGUUGGAGGGAGCAACGCCGCUUAGUUGUUAAAGUCUUUGGGAUCGUAAAACUCGGUGGUUAGGAAAAAACAGGUAUCUUUCGAAUGGGCCGGUACCUUGACGGUACUCACCCAAAAAGCCAGGUCUAACACGCUGCCUGCAGCCGCGGUAAUACGUAGGUGGCAAGCGUUAUCCGGAAUUAUUGGGCGUAAAGCGCGCGCAGGCGGUUUCUUAAGUCUGAUGUGAAAGCCCACGGCUCAACCGUGGAGGGUCAUUGGAAACUGGGAAGCUUGAGUGCAGAAGAGGAGAGUGGAAUUCCAUGUGUAGCGGUGAAAUGCGUAGAGAUAUGGAGGAACACCAGUGGCGAAGGCGACUCUCUGGUCUGCAACUGACGCUGAGGCGCGAAAGCGUGGGGAGCGAACA